rnacentral:rRNA from 1 species
GUUCCAGUCCAACGUUAAUCGGGGCUGGGUGAGUCGACCCCUAAGGCGAGGCCGAAAGGCGUAGUCGAUGGGAAAAUGGUUAAUAUUCCAUUACUUCUGUGUAAUGCGAUGAGAGGACGGAGAAGGCUAAAUCAGCCUGGCGUUGGUUGUCCAGGUGAAAGGAUGUAGGCAUGUAUCUUAGGCAAAUCCGGGGUACUCUAUGCUGAGAUCUGAUAGCAAGCUGUACUUGUACAGCGAAGUGGUUGAUGCCAUGCUUCCAGGAAAAGUCUCUAAGCUUCAGUUACACAGGAAUCGUACCCGAAACCGACACAGGUGGUCAGGUCGAGUAGACCAAGGCGCUUGAGAGAACUCUGCUGAAGGAACUAGGCAAAAUGGUACCGUAACUUCGGGAGAAGGUACGCUGUUGUUGGUGAUGGAACUCGCUUCCUGAGCUGACGACAGCCGCAGAAACCAGGCCGCUGCAACUGUUUAUUAAAAACAUAGCACUCUGCAAACACGAAAGUGGACGUAUAGGGUGUGAUGCCUGCCCGGUGCUGGAAGGUUAAUUGAUGGGGUUAGCGUAAGCGAAGCUCUUGAUCGAAGCCCCAGUAAACGGCGGCCGUAACUAUAACGGUCCUAAGGUAGCGAAAUUCCUUGUCGGGUAAGUUCCGACCUGCACGAAUGGCAUAAUGAUGGCGGCGCUGUCUCCAGCAGAGGCUCAGUGAAAUCGAAAUCGCUGUGAAGAUGCAGUGUACCCGCGGCUAGACGGAAAGACCCCGUGAACCUUUACUGCAGCUUGACACUGAACUUUGACCUUACUUGUGUAGGAUAGGUGGGAGGCUUUGAAGCUGGAACGCUAGUUCCAGUGGAGCCGUCCUUGAAAUACCACCCUGGUAAUGUUGAGGUUCUAACUCUGUCCCGUGAUCCGGGACGAGGACCGUGUCUGGUGGGUAGUUUGACUGGGGCGGUCUCCUCCUAAAGAGUAACGGAGGAGUACGAAGGUGCGCUCAGCGUGGUCGGAAAUCACGCGUAGAGUAUAAAGGCAAAAGCGCGCUUAACUGCGAGACCCACAAGUCGAGCAGGUACGAAAGUAGGUCUUAGUGAUCCGGUGGUUCUGUAUGGAAGGGCCAUCGCUCAACGGAUAAAAGGUACUCUGGGGAUAACAGGCUGAUACCGCCCAAGAGUUCAUAUCGACGGCGGUGUUUGGCACCUCGAUGUCGGCUCAUCUCAUCCUGGGGCUGAAGCAGGUCCCAAGGGUAUGGCUGUUCGCCAUUUAAAGAGGUACGCGAGCUGGGUUUAGAACGUCGUGAGACAGUUCGGUCCCUAUCUACCGUGGGCGCUGGAAAUUUGAGAGGAUCUGCUCCUAGUACGAGAGGACCAGAGUGGACGAACCUCUGGUGUACCGGUUGUGACGCCAGUCGCAUCGCCGGGUAGCUAUGUUCGGAAGGGAUAACCGCUGAAAGCAUCUAAGCGGGAAGCCUACCUCAAGAUAAGAUUUCCCUAGGACUUUAUGUCCUCUAAAGAGCCGUUCGAGACUAGGACGUUGAUAGGUUGGAUGUGGAAGCAUAGUGAUAUGUGAAGCUGACCAAUACUAAUUGCUCGUGAGGCUUGACUAU